UACGUAGGGGGCAAGCGUUGUCCGGAUUUAUUGGGCGUAAAGAGCGUGUAGGCGGUUAGGUAGGUCCGUUGUGAAAACUCGAGGCUCAACCUCGAGACGCCGAUGGAAACCGUCUGGCUAGAGUCCGGAAGAGGAGAGUGGAAUUCCUGGUGUAGCGGUGAAAUGCGCAGAUAUCAGGAAGAACACCCGUGGCUAAGGCGGCUCUCUAGUACGGUACUGACGCUGAGACGCGAAAGCGUGGGGAGCGAACAGG
rnacentral:rRNA from 1 species